rnacentral:lncRNA from 1 species
GGCCUGAUUAAUGUACAAAACAAACAAAUGGACAAAACAAUUGCAACGACUUGAUUUAUGUACAAAACAAACAGCAAUUAACCUGUGUACAUUACUAUAUUUGGCAACAUUUUGUUCAAGGUUAUGGUUGUUUUUGUGAAAGUGUUUAACAUAUCACCCCUUGUUUUAUUGAUUUUGUAUUUACAUUGUCUUAUAGAUCAAAUAUAUUUGUUCAGUGUAUAUUCAUUUGUUUGUGUUAAUAUGUCUUUUGAUCGAUUUAAGACAUUUCAAUUUAUAUUUUAUAGUGUGUCUUACUAUUUUGGGAUGUUACACUAUUGUUUCAUGUAAGGGUGAAGGUUGGUACCUAUUAAAAAGUUUAAACUGGCUGCAUUUGUUUGCACCUGUCCAAAGUCAUGAACCUGAUUUUCAGUGUUGACAUUUGUUGAUGUGGUUUAUAAGUGUUUCUUGGUUUUGAAGCUCACCUGGCCCAAAAGGCCGAGUGAACUUUUCUCAUCACUUCGCGUCAGUCGUCCAUGAACUUUUACACAAAUCUUCUAAUCUGAAACUACUGGGCCAAAUUUAACC